rnacentral:rRNA from 1 species
UAAGCGGAGGAAAAGAAACUAACAAGGAUUCCCCUAGUAACGGCGAGUGAAGUGGGAAAAGCUCAACUUUGUAAUCUGGCUGUCUUUUGGCAGUCCGAGUUGUAGUCUAGAGAAGUGAUGUCCGCGCAGACCCUUAUAGAUUUCGGUUGGAAUGCCAAGUCAAAGAGGGUGAGAAUCCCGUAUUUGAUAAGGUGGUCUUGUGCAUUGUGAUACGCUUUCAAAGAGUCGAGUUGUUUGGGAAUGCAGCUCAAAGUGGGUGGUAAAUUCCAUCUAAAGCUAAAUAUUGGCGAGAGACCGAUAGCGAACAAGUACCGUGAGGGAAAGAUGAAAAGCACUUUGGAAAGAGAAUGAAAUAGUACAUGAAAUUGCUGAAAGGGAAACGAUUGAAGUUAGACAUGCGCUUUGGGUAUUCAGCCUUGGCUUCGGUCUUGGUGCAUUUGCCCAAUUUUGCAGGCCAACAUCAGUUAUCUUUGCUGUAAAAGGGUUUAGGGAAUGUGGCUCUUUCGGGAGUGUUAUAGCCCUUUGCUGGAUGCAGAAUCGAUGACUGAGGAACGCAGUGCGCCUUUAUUGGCAAGGCUUUCGGGCUUCGAGCACUUAGGAUGUUGGUAGAAUAGCUUUAAACGACCCGUCUUGAAACACG